UGACUUUGUGCAGCAGACAUGGCGUACUUCUUGUUUCACCACUAAUGAACUAUACAUAUUGUUUUCAUGUUUUUUUUACUUUAGCUACGUAGAUGCUCAGUAUGUUUCAUAAUUUUACAAUUUGGGGAAGUGUUUAUGCAUCUUAAUUAGGCAUGAGUAAGAUCAGAACAAGCCAAGUUAUGUACAUUUUGAAAUAUAUCCAAACUAGAUAUAGUUUCAGUCAGUUCAAUCACAUACGCUUGCAUGAUUAUGCCAAUUGUUGUUUGCCUGCCAAUCUGUUACAACUUUGAAACAUUUUAGGUCAAAAGCCAAAGCUGACCACUCCAACACAACCUAAGACAUUUGUGCUCCAAGACAACGUCAAGACAUUUGGUAGCUGAGAAUUUAGAAUUGGAAUGCAUUGCAGGAGCAAGGAGCAACUACACAAGAAUUAGUCUUUAAAUGAACACAUAUUAUGUAUAAUGUAUGGAAAGCUUAGUUCUAGUUUGUAGCAUCUUUUAAUUAUUUACAUAUAUCAUAUGAAUGUUUGAUC